GUCUAUACUCGAUAAUCCACGUAUACUCAACCUUCUAUAGACAUUCAGCAUGUAUACUGCCGUUGUAAGCAUACCUUUAAAAGAACUAGUAUGCCGCCAUGGCCAAAACAAAGGCCCACACACAUCAGGUCAAAGUGCAGCUAAUAAGAAGGAGAUGAUGGGUUACAACCCCAAAAUAGACUAUCAACUAAGAAAUAAAAAAUCUUACGAAAGUGGACUUGACCGUAAUUAACUUACAAGUUAAAAAAAUGAAUUAAAUCUAAGACAUGCACACAUCGCCCGUCACUCUACCCUAAAGGAUAGAUAAGUCGUAACAAAGUAGGUGUAAUGGAAAUUGCACCUGUCGAAGUAUAGCAUAUAUAAUGCUUUUUACUUACACUAAAAAUAAAGUUAACACUUACUUCGCCCGAACUACUAAACCUUAUAAACCACAAAUAAUAUAAACAACUAAAUAAUCUAACAAUAAUAAAGUACAGAAAUGGAAAAAUAAACUAAUUAAAGUAAUUUUUAACAAAUAUACCUUGUGCAUUAUGGUUUUACAAGAAAAUUAUUAAACACAUAAAUCCCGAAUUCUAAAUGAGAUGUUAAAUUGCUGUUAUGAACCCACCAAUAACUGUAUAAAAAGUUUUAAAAGACAAUUUGACAGAGGCUACAUACCAUCCGCAUAAGAAUAUAGCUGGUUUUCAACAAACAUUAUACAUUAAAACAUAUAAUCCUAUUAUAGUGUAAUAUUAUUGAGGAUAAGCCCAAUAAUAAAAGCAAUUACUGCACAAAUCUAUCUAACUACAUAGGCCUAAAACCAGCCAACUAUAAUACUUUAUCGUAAUAAAUAUAGAUAUAAUUUAUACCACAUAAAAUGCAAAAAAAAGUUGAAAUAUUAGGAAAACUAAAUACCCCGUUCAUACUAUGUAAAAAUAAGUAUUACAAAAUAAUAAUAAUAACUAUCUAGAAAUAUAUAGCCUAAAAAAAUAUAAUAACUAACUAAGGAACUCGGCAAACACUUAUUUCGACUGUUUAACAAAAACAUUGUCUCAUGAAAUAUAAUAUGAGAUAAUACCUGCCCAGGA
rnacentral:rRNA from 1 species